GAAUAAGAGAAAAGAGUUCCUUUUAAUUCGACAAAAAAUUGUUAAAAUUCAGGCUCAUAUAAGGGGGCAUCAAGUGAGGAAGAAAUAUAAGCCAAUUAUCUGGUCGGUAGGAAUUCUGGAGAAAGUGAUAUUGCGUUGGAGACGUAAAAGAAGUGGUUUGAGGGGAUUUAGAUCAGAGGCGGUCAUGAGUAAGCCAAGCACACAGGAGGACUCAUUGCCAGAAGAUGAUUAUGAUUUUCUAAAGGAAGGAAGAAAACAGACUGAAGUCAGGAUGCAAAAAGCCCUUGCUAGGGUGAAGUCCAUGACUCAAUAUCCUGAGGGUCGUGCUCAAUAUCGUAGGCUGCUUACUGCUGCUGAAGGACUUCGUGAAGUGAAGCAGGAUGGUCCAAUUCAAAUCCCGGAGAUCCCAGAAGAUACCAUCUACCCUGAAGAGGAGUUGUUUGAUGUUGAUAGUCUGUUGGAUGAUGAUACUUUCAUGUCUAUAGCAUUUGAAUAAAGCCUUUUUCCCCCUUGAUUAGCCAAUUAACAGUUGAUUCGUUGUAUAUACAUAGAACAUAGUAUCUAAUUCUGCACCAUGAAGUUACUUGAGGGGAAACUCAAUUUGCUCUAGAUUAUUAUAAUUUUUGUAAACAUAAAAGAAAUGCUAGUAUGCGCAGCCAUCAAUAUUC
rnacentral:misc_RNA from 1 species